AAGAAAAUUUCUUAACUUCUUUUCAACAAUAACACCAUUUUUAGCCUGAAUGGAUAAAUACAAGAUUGGACAGAUUCAGCUAUUUUCAAGUUUUUUUUUUUCCUUUUUUCCUCAGCAACUGUCAGAUUUUUCUAUUCUUACAAGCUAUUUUGGGGAUACUCAGACACAAAUAGGAAUUUAUUAUCUCAUUUCAUUAUAGAAAAUGAAAGCACUAAAAUAAAACAUCUCAAAAACUCAUCUCUGAGAAUAUUCUACAAACUUGUGCUUUUUCUGGAUGAUAUUACACAACUGAGCCCACCAGGAAGAUAAUAUUCAAACUUAUUUUGAGCCUAAUUGUUCUUAAACUAACCUGCUUCUUCUUCUUCAGAACAUUUUAUUUUCAGCAGAACUUCCAUUUUCAUUGAAUCUGGGGUUGAGCAAGUGACAGAGAUGUGGAGAUUUUUAGAAAUAUUCUUACAGGUGUUGCAUUUGAAUACAUAUGCAGAGGGGUAUGUAUAUGGAGAUAUACAAAUAUGCAUAUAUUCUUUUUAGGCAGGUUGUUUUUCUCCUUAACUUUUCUCAAGUGUUCCAUGUUGUGCAGAAGAAGCGGGAGCCACCAUUUUCCAAGGAAGCUACUAGGUCUCACGUAUACACAUGUGUAUACAACUCUGUGUAUAAGACUCUAAAAUUCUGGAAUCAAAUUGUUGUAACACUUUGUUUUCUAAAUAAAGUUAUAAAUGAUUAAAGCCAUGUGUUGGUUGUGUAAUUUGGAAAAUAAUAAAAUCAUAUCGAAAGCUUGCAAGUCCAUCAUUUAGAGAUAAUUGUCAAUAACAACGUAUUAUAGUUCUACCAUUUUUUGAAUAGAAUUUUACCAUUUAUUUUCUUUAGAGAUAUACACAUCGCAUAUGUAUAUAUGUUUUAUAAGAAAACCAUAAUAAGAGUUGAAGAUAAUAUGUAUUGAUUUUUUUUUCAGUUAAAAAAUAAUGUACGCUCACUACAGAAAGUUUGCUCACCAACUAUUACUUAAAUGCUAUUGCCGACUAUGUAAAAUUUAAGUUGUCUUCUAAAUUUUUCUUUUUCCACUGUUAUUUUUAAAUAACUUUUAAAGAUCACUUUUAGAUUGAAGGGGACAGGCAAUGCUGACUGUAGACAUUCAACCUUAUUUAUUUCCUCCAAAUUGUCAAAUCUACUGUAUUGGAUCCAUCAUUUAUUCAUUGACUUGAAAUACCACCUUUAUCAUGUACUAAAGUCAUAUUUGUGUCUGGGAUUUUUAUCAUAUUAGUGUUACCAUAAAUUCAUAGUCACUGACUUCAGCCAGUUUCUCAUUACUCAUUUUUAUAUCGUCAUGCUUGGCUUCCACUUCCAUUCCCUUCAGGUAUUAGUUUAGGACUUCACUACAGCUCAACGCCGCCUUCUAAACCUUCCUGUUACUCCCUGAACCCCUUCUUCAUCAACAAGAUAAGGCUACAAGUGUGUUUUUUUUUUUUCCUGCAACAUCGCUCCAUGAGUUUCCUAAGGCUGCCAUAACAAAGUAUCAUAAACGUGGUGGUUUAUGACAACAAAAAUUUACUGCCUCAGUCCUGGAGACUAGAAGUCUGAAAUGAAGACACGAGCAGGGCCAUGCUCCCUCUGAAAUCUGUAGAAGAGCAUUCCUCUUUGUUCCUUCUGAGCUUCUGGGAAUUCUCAGCAAUCGUGGCAUUGAGAAGGAUCAACUCCAGUCUCUGUUUCGGUUGCCACGGGAUUGUCAUUUCUCAAGUGUCCUCACGUCUUCUUCCUUCUGGGCAUCUGUCUCCAAAUUUCCCUCCUUUUAUGAGAACCCCAGUUAUAUUGGAUUAAGGACCCACUCUACUCCAGAAUGAUCUCAUCCUAACUCAUAAUGUCCACUAUGGUUCUAUUUCUAAAUAAGGUCACAUUCUUAGGUAGUGGGGCAAAGACUUCAAUGUAUAUGUUUAUGACACAACUCAUCUCAGUGCCUCCUACAUCCACUCUCAUCUUAUUCCCCUCCCUUUAAAUCAGAGGAUAAGAUUUUAUUUCUGUUCAGGUUAAUUCAGUGUUUUUUAUUCCAACUCCUCCUAUCUCCUCUGAGAAUUUGGUCCAUCAACUAACUCUUCUUUUUGGCACAUUUGUCUUCUGCCCUCCCACUAACAACUCUCCUGAAGUCUAAAAACAUGCUCAAGUCCUUUAUUUCUACUAAAAGUAUCUGUCCUUUUAACCUGAACCUUCCUCCCCUUUAAUUAUAAUUACCUCUUUCUUCUUUCCAUAUCAGAUCCGUCCACUUUUAUCAGUAGCAUUGACUUUUAAUUGACAGUGUUCACAAAGAAUUGGUAUCUUUUUUAUUCAGUGUGUGUCAUUUGGUGUCCAAGAGUUAAAGGCAAUCAAAUCUAUUUAGCUUAGAUCUUUUUCUUGUUAAGGAACCUAGUUCUCCCUAAGAGCCUAACUGUGUAGGCCAAUAGUCUUGAUUAAAAAAAAAAUUAUGAUUGUGUUCUGAAUUUUGGAAUUGCUCUUAAAUUGAAGUAAUAGAAAGUUAGACGCAUUACAUUAUAAUUAAUUGUUUUGUCAUCCUUACUAAACUCUAAGAUAACUGAGACUUGGGAACAUGAUUAAAUCAUCCGUGUAUCUCCAGAACCUGGCAGAGAAUGUGGAAUCAAUUAGAUGACCAAUAAAUAUUUUGGGAAUCAAUGGACUCAUGGCUAAAUCCAUAAUGUCUUUCCCAAGAUAGCAAGGGUUAUAAGGUGAAACAAAUUUGUCCAUUUGAAGACCAGUUUUAUGCCCUGAUCUCAUUAAUUUAGUAGUUUAACCAGCAGAACAGACUGGCAGUUAUUAAAGCUAUUUAUAGCAGGAAAUAAAACUGCAUUUCCCAAACAGGUAUUCUAUGCAACGUUGUUUUAUGGGAUUUUACAUUAAAUGAAGUAAAAAUAAAUAAUUAAAAAAUACUUGGGUGCAUGUAAGUUUAGGAAAGAUUUCUUUAUGCAGAAAUCCUUGGAACCUACAUAUUAUUUAAAUUUGUGUUUGGUUGCACAUGCAGAACCCUGACUGUAGGAAUAAACAAGUAGGGGUUUAUUUUUCUCAUGUAGGAAAAUGAAAUGCUGAAACAGGGAUCCACAUUACAUAACCAAACGUGGGUCCACUCACCCUGGACCCUCCAUGACAUCGGGGCUGUGGUGAAGGAAAAGCAGUGUUUAUGGUAAAGCACUGCACACACGGGUCUGGGACAGGUGCUCAAAAAGCCUGAACUCCCCAGCGGUUUUCAGCAAAUCAUUUUUAAAGGCCAGGUGAGGGAGGCGGGAUCAGCUCGCCCACAGUUCUCUGAUUGUCGUUGUCGGAGGCCAGCAGCAGUCGCGCUUCCUCCCUCACUCUCUUGCUCCUUCUUUUGCAUACCGUGGGGCUCUCUUCCUCAAGGUCAUGCUCAUGUGGCAGCUGCGGAACUUCUGGGCAUUAUAUUUGCGUCCUAGGCAGGAAGAAUAGGGAAGCGUCAAGAGCAAAAGGUGGAUGAGGGCAAAAUAUGUCCCUUUACUUCAGAGAAGAAUAUUUUUACCAGCUGCCCUCCUAGCUAACUUGUGCUCCUACCUCAUCGGCAGGAAGUAGGUCAUGAGGUUAUCCCUGCUCCCAGGGGAGUCUAGAAUAAGGGGUAUUUUUAACCAGCACAUUGAUAAUCCCACAUGAAAUCAAGGAUUUCUCAGUAAGAAAAAGAAGAGGGAAUGGAUGUUGAACUGGCAACCGUCAGUGUCUAAGACUAACAUACGCCGGGACCUCCCAAGAGAAAAUACGGUCAUAUGAAGUAUUUUAUUUUAUUUUAUUAUAUUAUUUUUUUUGGUCUUUUUGCUAUUUCUUGGGCCGCUCUCGCGGCAUAUGGAGGUUCCCAGGCUAGGGGUCCAAUUGGAUCUGUAGCCGCUGGCCUGUGCCAGAGCCACAGCAAUGUGGGAUCCGGCGCAUCUACGACCUACACCACAGCUCACGGCAACACCGGAUCCUUAACCCAAUGAGCGAGGCCAGGGAUCGAACCUGCAACCUCCAUGGUUCCCAGUCGGAUUCGUUAACCACUGCGCCACCACGGGAACUCCCAUAUGAAGUAUUUUAGCACCAUCUUUUCCCGCAGUUCUUUGGUUCAUCCCUUCUUGCUGGUUUAAAAAAUCCGUUGAUCAGACUAUCUAGGGACAGGUUUCUGAAGAACAGGGCUUAUGUCAUUCUUGGGUAAUAACACUCUAGAGAGGUCUAGGUCAGCUGAUAAAGACAUUGACAUGUUGAAAUUUAUCUGAAGUGGGGACACAAAAAAUCCCAAGGAAGGAGGUGGUUGAGGUACGAGCUCUGAAUGGGUUGGUGUGUGUAUGAAAGGAAACCUACGGUCAUUUACUAUCUCUGGGACUUGGCUUGUUCUGGGUGAGGCCAUCUCUCCACCGCAGCAAGGCCUCUGAGGUCAACACGGUAGAAACGCAGAAAAUAAAAAGGCAUGAUUAACACACAGUAGAAAUGCAGAAAAUAAAAAGGCAUGAUUAACACAACAGUGCAUAGCCAUAUAAAAGGUAUAUUGUGUGUAUUUUAAAACUUUAUGUAUCUAACUUUAUUUUUUCACUUACCAUCAUACUUAGUGAAAGAAGGACCGUGCCUGUUAAGACACAUAUCUUUUACCUAGUUACUCAUAUUUUUACUGCUGAGCUUUUAUAUAAUAUUGCGACUUAAGAAUAGUCCUCAUUUUACUUAUACUUUUCCUAUUCUGGACACCUGGAUGGUAGGUAAAAUGUUUCCAUGUUAUCAGCAGUGCUGUGAUUGCAUCCUUGUACUCGCCUCCUUGGGUACCUGUCUUCAGGUACUCUGGGUCCCCUUGCCGUAGACAGACUUCCAAGAUGGCGCCCAAAUGCCUUGUGCCUUGGUGUACACAGCCUAAAUGAGCCUCGCUCCUGGAGUAGGACAAAGAUGUGAAUACGAUGAAGUUCAUUCCCACAGUAAGGAUACCUGACAAAGAUGAGAUUGUUUUCUUUCAGGUGUAGUUAAUGUUUUAAAUCCGUUGAAGUUAAGUUAAUCAAAAGAGAGGUUCUCUGGGAUAGACCUCGUUGAAUCAGGUGAGUCCUGAAUAGGGACAGGUCCCUUUCUGAAAACAGAAAUUUGAAGCAUGAAGGAGAUUCUUUUACUGGCCUAGAAGAAGCAGGUCACACUGUUGUGACCUGCUUGUGGAGGAGGUCACGUGGAAGGACCUGGGAGCAGCCCCUGGACACGGAUUGAAGUUUCUGGCCAAUAAACAAGGAGAAGAUGGAGCUGUAGUCACACAACCACAAGGAAGUCAGUGCUUCCAACAGCCAGUGAUCUUGGCAGAGGGACCCCUGAACCUGAGAUCAAGACUGCAGCCCUGCCUGAUGCCUUGAUGUUAAGCUGAUGAGACCUCGAGGGACCCAGGUAACCCAGACCUAGACUUCUGGUCCAUGGAAACUGAGAUUACACACUGGUGUUGUUUUAAGGUGGGAACUUUGUGGCAACUUGUUACACAGCAAAAGAAACCUAAUACAUAGCGUAUGCACAUUAAAUUGUAGAAGAUGACUUUGAUGAGAUAACCAAAGUAAUUAUGACUGUGUAUAAUGCAACCGUUUUCUUUAAGCAGAAGAAAAUGAGAGAAAUGACAGGUCUAGUGCUCUCAUACUGUUACUGUCUGGCUUUCAUUUAAGAAAUUUUCCUAUCUGACAGAUGAUGUUUAAAUGUAAAGUUUUCUAAUUACUGUUUAGACCUAAUACAUUCCUGGAGUUUCCCUUAUGGCCUGGUAGUCAAGAAUUUGGCAUGUUCACUGCUGUGGAACGGGUUUGAUCCCUGGUCGGGGAACUUCUGCAGGCCAUGAGUGCGGCCAAAAAAAUAAAAUAAUUAAAUUAAAACGACGACAACAAACAACAAAAGAAAUAAUAUCCACAUUAUUGACUCCUAAAAUUUUGAAGGCUAUGAGAUUCCACUUGCAAGCUAAGAGUUACCCUAUCAUGGUUUCAUUCAUAUGUAAAUAUAUGUAUGUGUAUAGACACACACACACACACACACACACACACACACACACACACACACACAUGUGCAUAUUUCUGUGGGGGGUUCUCUGGUCCAGAGAUUUGAACACAAAGAAUAGCAUCCAUGGUU
ensembl:lncRNA